rnacentral:rRNA from 1 species
UACGGAGGGGGCUAGCGUUGUUCGGAAUUACUGGGCGUAAAGCGCACGUAGGCGGACUGGAAAGUCAGGGGUGAAAUCCCGGGGCUCAACCCCGGAACUGCCCUUGAAACUCCCAGUCUUGAGGUCGAGAGAGGUGAGUGGAAUUCCGAGUGUAGAGGUGAAAUUCGUAGAUAUUCGGAGGAACACCAGUGGCGAAGGCGGCUCACUGGCUCGAUACUGACGCUGAGGUGCGAAAGCGUGGGGAGCAAACAGG